rnacentral:rRNA from 1 species
UCUGACCUCAAAUCAGGUAGGAUUACCCGCUGAACUUAAGCAUAUCAAUAAGCGGAGGAAAAGAAACUAACAAGGAUUCCCUUAGUAACUGCGAGUGAAGUGGGAAAAGCUCAAAUUUAAAAUCUGGCAGUCUGAUUUUUUAUCUUUGGCUGUCCGAGUUGUAAUCUAGAGAAGUGCUACCUGUACUGGACCAUGUAUAAGUCUCCUGGGAUGGAGCAUCAUAGAGGGUGAGAAUCCCGUCUUUGACAUGGACUGCCGGUGUGUUGUGGUGUACUUUCAAAGAGUCGGGUUGUUUGGGAAUGCAGCUCUAAAUGGGUGGUAAACUCCAUCUAAAGCUAAAUAUUGGCGAGAGACCGAUAG